rnacentral:rRNA from 1 species
AGACGAACCGUCCAAACGUUAUUCGGAAUUACUGGGCUUAAAGGGUGCGUAGGCGGCUCGAUAAGUUGGGUGUGAAAUCCCACGGCUCAACCGUGGAACUGCGCUCAAUACUGUCGGACUUGAGGGAGAUAGAGGUGAGCGGAACUAAUGGUGGAGCGGUGAAAUGCGUUGAUAUCAUUAGGAACACCUGUAGCGAAAGCGGCUCGCUGGGUCUCUUCUGACGCUGAGGCACGAAAGCUAGGGUAGCGAACGGGAUUAGAAACCCCGGUAGUCC